AGACAUCAUUAAAGAGCUUGACAACAUGGUAAAAGAGAAAAUAUUGGAUAGGUUUAAAAAUAUAGGCCUGAUAUCAUGAAGGAAUAUUAUUUUGUUGUGCAUAUAUAUAUAUAUUAAAGAUGACCUCUUCUUAGGAAUAGUGUCGGUUUCCGGUCAUUUUAUCUCCACACCUGUAGUUAAUCGAUCCUUCCAGUUUCUUCCUUCCACUGCCUUAUCCAAACCUUCUGCUUCAAGCCACCGUUUUCCAUGGAUUAGGGUUCGAUUUUCGUUUUAACAAACGUCUGAGGUACUGCUAACCCCCAUUUCCCUCUUUCAACUUCGAUUCAUUUUUUGUGCUUCAUAUACUUCUGCCUCCUCGACCUCCCAAUUAGUUGUUUACAUAUUUCCUUGCACCCACCAAACCUCACCGUUGAAGCCCUCCAAAAAUAUGCUUCAUCGGCUUCUUGCGUAACCUAUUUCGAAACGGAGGAGAUAUUGAAGAUGGGUUCCAAUUAACCGCCGGCGACUGCUCAAUCGUCAAAAUCCCCGCCAAUAGAGGCAAGCCGACGACACCGUAAAGUAAGUAUUUCCCCCAAAUUCUCUCAUGUUUUAAUCUUUUCAUCUCUAUCAUCCUUGAACCCUAAAACACCACUUCUCACCGGUUUUAGGGGUUCAAAUGCUAUCAUGUUAGGUAUAUUGAGCAGAUGAGUUUCUUGAUUUGAUAAAAAUUUUAAAGUUUAUGAUACAUAAUUGAUUUUUAUUUGUGCCACUUGAGUUUUAUGGAGUAAGAUGAAACUGGAAUGAUUUGUUUGGGUGUAUGUUGUUUUUAGAUAUAAAUAUACAUAUGCUUGGAUUUUGGUAUAAAUUGGUUUCCAUUGGGUUUCAUUUCAAUUUUCAUUUUCUCUUUCUUCCACAUAGGCGCUUACAGUUUUACUGUUCGAUUUGGGUUUAGUUUCGGUUUCCUGGCUCAUCUUUGUUUAGAAUACAAAAAAAAAAAAAAAAACGAAUCAGUGAGAGGUAGGACCAAAUAUCAUCAGGUUGCUUUGCCAUUUCUGCUAUGGUUUUUUCCUCCUCCUAAAGCUCAAGAAACAAGGAGAGUUAGGAACGAAAAAAAUCUAGAAUUCAAAAGUAAGAAGGCAAAAGUCUGGUCCGGUCUUCUCCAUUUCGGCUCCACAAACUUUGAUCUUACUGGGAAUUCCACUUUUUCAUUGCAUGUUAUACAUGGAGUAUAGUUGGCGGGCUGCUACAUGCCCCAUUGACAUUGCGUAUUAUUGAAAAGUUCAAUAUUUCAACCAGGUGCAACAGUUACUUCAUGUUUGAUGUUGUCCAUGAUGCGUGUAAAUAUUUCCCUUUCUUUUUUUCUUUCUUCUUCUUCUUCUUUUGUAUCUGUUAAUGAUAUUUAUAAACUGAGUUGCAGGUGAUUACCUUAACAACACAAAAUAAUGGCUUUUCACUCAUUCUAAUCUUUCCAGGUAACUUCCCUAACUGAUUGGCACGCUGAGUUUUUGGUCGACCCUGCAAUUGCUGCUCAUUUUAAUCAUUCUAAUAUAGGUGUAUGCUUUUGAUUCAAUUCCAGAGUGAUCUAUUUGGAAUCGUAGGUUUUCGCUCUAGGCUUUUUAUGAGGUUUAUAGUCUUAGUAAAAUAGCGUCAAACCAACAUUGUCCUCUUGAGAUUGUUGUUUACAGGUCAACUUAGACAUGAGGUAAACAAUAAUAUUCAUGUAUUAGUCCAAAUGUUGUGUGUUGUUGCACCACAUGUGUUUAAUGAGAUGUGUACAUGAAAUUUCUAAGUAAAAAAAAUCUAAUUCACUUUAUUUUACAUGGUUCCAGGGUCUACUUGUAUGGUCUAUUUCAAAAGUAUGAUAACGAAGAUAUAGAGUUCUUGUAUGAUCUAUUUCAAAAGUAUGACAAUAUUUAGGCAUAUAGUUUCAUAAGUUGCUUAUCUGUUCUUGAUUAGUUCUGAUUUUUUUGGGUAUUAUUAUUAGGGGUAAGAUUGAUAUGGGAAGGUAGGUAAUAAAUUUAUUGUCAGAAAGUUCAUUUUUUUAGUGAAUUAUGCCCUUGCUGUUAGUUUUUUAAAGCAAAAUCUUAUAUUGUAAUGCUUCUCUUUUGAUGGAUUGUUACCAAUUAGUAAAAAAAAUAUAUAUAAAUGGGUGGUCAUUUUGACACAUCUUAUUUAUGCAUGCUAAUCAUAAUUUAUAUAUUCAUCACUUUGUGCUUUUCAUUUAUUUUUGUCACUGUUACAAAAUGUUCAAGAUCCUACUCUUCUAAGAAAGGGUAAACGAAAUUGAUUCCAUCACCAUCAACAACAAAGUCACUGGAUCAUAUCUUAAACAGUAAGAUUUUUUUUAAUCCUUUGAAUUUUUUUAUAAAGGAGCAUAAUGAAACAUCUACACAUGUAGUAUUAGGAGAGGUAAGAAGAUGAUUUUCAUUUUUCUUAAAAAAAGCAUUGUAUGUCUAUAAGUAAACUUUUUCCAGCAAGUGCAGUUAUGAUUCCUCUUGGUGAUCCAUUAUCAGAAAUGGGUGUUGUAAUGUUGUGUUGAAAUACAAAGAUAACAAAGAAGGGUAAAACUAUUAAAAUUUGGUGAAUUAUUGUUGUUUGGCAGGAUAUCAAAGCUAUUAUCACUGCUGGAGAGGUUUAGAUCUCUUCCCUUCUUAACCUUAUUAUCCCUUUAAAAUCAUUUAGCCACAUUUCUUGCUAUAGGUAUUUGGUAUGCAGGUUCUUAUGUAUUUGGAACUUUUAACAUGUGUGUUGCUCCGACACCCAUCAUUUGAAUUCUGAGCACGACAAUUUUCCCAGAGGCCUUUUGCAGCUUUCAUGUUGGUCAUACUACACAAUCAGAAACGAUGUUUAUCCUGCCUUUGAUGAGCUUACACCAGAGGUGUUGUAGUGUUAUGACAUUUGUCACCCCUGACCUGCCGGUCUAACUAUAGCUAAUAGUUUAGGCGCGAGGUUGUCAAUCCCGUAUAGAUCUAUACACAAGUAUCACAUUCUGCCUCCAAGAGAUUAUGGUAUAUAAUACAGGACUUGAAAUGCAUACAUAAGUGUACGUUGAAGUUUGAAUGUCUCACAUUGCUUGGUAUAAAUAGAUUUACGAUAAGAAAGACUUUACUUUAUUUGAAAGUAUUUCGCUUGUCAAGAUGUAUAUGUAACAAUGUAUGAAUAACUUGUUAACUAUACUCAUUAUAGUUUCUCAGAAAGUAUGUUUCCAUUUAGUAAAAAUAACUUGGUGAUAUAA